rnacentral:lncRNA from 1 species
GAUAAAAAUAUACAGAACUUAUAUAAAUUAUAUACUAUUUUGAGUCUACUAAAAAAAUUUUCAAAAUUUUAAUUUUACUACUCAACUUCUCAAUUUGAUUAAUUUGAGUCAGUCAAUGGUAUCUUAACUUCAAAAUUUGAAUGUAUUAUUUAUUUUUACAGAUUUAGUUAAUAUACUUUAUAUAAUUCUUCUAAUUAUAAAGUUAUUAAAAUAAGUAAUUAACUUAAAUUUUAAAUUUAAAAUAUUGUUAAUUGAUUCAAAUCGAAGAUUGAAUAGUCAUAAAAUUUUGAAAGAUUGGAUAAUUCGACUCCAAAUAGUCAUAAAUUUAAAAUAUUGUUAAUUGAUUCAGAUUGAAAGAUUGAGUAGUCAUAAAAUUUUGAAAGAUUGGAGAAUUCAACUUCAAAUAGUCCAUGGUUCAUAAGUUAUGUAAGCUUUUUAUUUUUUUAGACAAAAAAUUCAAUUUUUUUUGGUGAAAUCCAAGCUAGAAAUGUGAGAUGCAUACCUCUAUAUUGUGUGUACAGACAAUAUUUUUUAAAUAAUAAUAAUUAUUACUCUUAUUGUUAUAUUAUUGUUAUGAAUCCAGCUAUAAUACUAUGAAUAGUACCAAGUACUUGAUUCUAUUAAAUUUUCUACCGUUAGAUCUACCAUUUUCACCAUUUUUAUCUUUUAGAUCAUAUUAUUCCAUCAACCACCCAUUAAAUUCUAGGUACUACUAUCAUCCUAACCGCACAUCCCUUCAUUCAAAGGCCAAAAACCUAAUGGCACAAAUAAUUUGAUGCGCGCUAUUAAUAGUGCAGUAGCCUAUUUCUUAUUGUUAUUAUUUUUUUUGAUUAAAUUCUUAUUGUUAUUAUUAUUAAAGCUAUUAUUACUAUUAUGUUAUUAUUCUAUAGAAAGUGAGAGGGGUAAAGGGAUAAGAAGAGGUGGUAGGCCGGCGGCCAAGAGGGAGAGGGGCGGCGCGCGGCAGCCGGUGGUCUGCGGCUGUGGGUGGAGGGAGGCUAGAGGAUUCUCACUCUUCGUCACCAUAAAAAUAAUAUUUUAAUAAUGUCUCUUCUGUUUAGUAAAAUAACGCUAAGUUUGAGAAUUUCUUUUUAAGGCUAGAUAAGAACCUCUCUGAGAAAGUAUACAUGCGCGCUCUAUAGUUUAUAAAAUUUUGAUGUGGUACAAAUUAAUUCUUUUUCUUUUCUUUUCUUUUUUUCUAGUAAGUUUGCACGUAAUUCAUGCACAUAUCUUAUUGACACUACGGUAUAUUUCAAAAAAGAUAAUCUUUUCUAGAUAAAGAGUAUCUAUCAGCAGAUCGAUAGUGGUAUUAAAAAAAAAAAAAAACAUCUAGGAAGGGGGAGAGAUUACAAUGAAUCAAACUCCUUUUAUGUGAAAUUAAUAAUUAGAGUUUGACUGUGGAUAUAGAGAAGCAUGCUUUAGAGUUCGCUUUACUUUUGUUUUCCCAUAUUAUUAUAAUAUUAUUAUUUGGCACAUCCUAUAUAUCCUAAUUAACUUUCCAAGAUAUGAUUUACUUGUCACAUUAAUUGCAACUAACCAUCUUUUUCAUUCAACCAAACUGCUAAAAUGACACUUCUGCUAACUUAUUUUAAUAAACACACUCUCAACAAUUAUUUUUUCCUUCCCUUUUUGACACUUAAACGUAUGUGAAAUAUUCAAAGCAUGGUUCCACUAAUGACUAUUUAUUUACUCAAAGAAUAAUAAUCCCUUACAUAACGUGUCCUUCUCUUAUUUGAUGUUUAUAAAUUUAUGAUGCUCAACACUCGGUGUGUGGAGAAGCACCUUUUUAAGCCAACUAAAAUUUCCUGAAUAAUCCGCUUCCUUGGGGAUUGAAAGAGCCACUAUAGUUAUUAUUAUAUAAUCCUAUGUCAUUAGAUGAGUGAGUGCAACUAUGGUGCUUUCGAAAAUAUAAAAGACUUGGUAUUUUUAAUUUUUUUAAUCCUUAGAUCAACUUCUUGAUCAUUUCCGGUCUUUAGAUUAAUAUAAAUCUAUUAGGGGACCACUAAAUCCUUGAGGAUCGCUAUCAUUCUAACUCUAUAAUUUUUUAUUCAAGUGCCAAUAAGUCGAAAGCAACAGCUCUUUUAUGCUGUUGGAAAUAUGGUAGCUCUACACAAUAAAUAUUGGCAUUUGCUCCACAAAAUCACAAACACUACUUCUGUUAAAUAACUUAGGAAUUUUAUUGACAUUUGACAUAAAAAGAAAAAAAGAAAAUGUUUACAAUAAUUUGGUUCAAAAAUAUAAAUAUUUUCUUAAGGUAAAGCCCAUAAGCAUAUUUGAUGAUUUUUCAAAAACUAAAUACAUAUCACGUAAGAAAGCCAAAAACUAAAAAAUCAAUCCAUUGCCGGCGGAUCAUUCUCGUGUUACUAUCCAAAAAUUAAUCUAAACGAAAACUCUUUAUAUUUAGAGAUCUUACCGUGGACCAGUUACGCUCUCUUGAUCUACAGUACAGUUGGUAUUGUAAGUUUUGAUCUUUGCUCUGAGAUUCUAGUAUAGUCGCGCACGUGCCCGGCCUCUACGCGUAUCCACACAGAAUCGGCGCAUACCCGAUCGAUUUUCAUCUCACGAACCGAAUCAGUCAUGGACCAUCUAAACGGUGCUAGCAAUCCCUUCAUAAUCCACUAGUCGAUGAAGAGUAGGAAAAUUGAUCGAAGAGAAAUACGCGCGUAAGAGAGAGAGAUUGGAGAGAGAUUGAUGUUAUAUAUAUACAUAUAAAAAUCCUCAAAUUAAUUAAGAAGCACGACACCUUAAUUAAUUAAUUAAUUAUGUGCCGUACGGUUUCUUUCUUUCUUUCUUUUUUUUUAAAUCUCACAUCUAUAUGUAUGUAUACAUUUACACCUAUAUGUAUAGAACUCCAUUUGGUAAAAUCUUAUAUAAUAAGAUUUGCUGUGAGGACUGAGAAUUUUGCUAUAUAGUUAAACUCUCUGUUGACAAUAUUUUUGUAUGUAUUUUAAUUAUAUAAUCACUCGUCAAGUUUCGGAAGAAAAUGAGUUAGGAUGGAGAUUUUAUGCAAUCUUUACUUUUCACUUAAAGUGAAUAGUAAUCCGGGUUUUCGGAGAGGCUAAUGAGAAGAGAUGGCUUCUGCCGUGUAUCGGACUCCGUUCAUGGUGAUCCAAUAGCUCGUUUUUAACGGUACAACUAUAUAUUCUGGACCCAAUGGCGCUGACGAAUUUUAGGUUUGAGACACGAUUUUCGAGAAAACUGGAUUUUAUCUCGAAGUGGACUUAUGUUCUUUAUCGUUUUGCUUUUUAAAACUUCUUGUUGCUUCGUUUUGCGUGUGGACCCUUGGGUGGGGAUCUUUCUACGAGAGGAGGUUUGUGUAGAGGGACCUUGGCAGCAAAUAUGCUUGUUGGAGGGGUUUUGGAGGGACUAUUGUUAUAUAUAUAUAUAUAUAUUAUAGUAUUAUAUAUAUAUUAUAUAUAUAUAUAUAUAUAUAUAUAUAUAUGAAUAUUUGUGUUGUGUGUGAUGUGUGUGUGUGUGGUGUGUGUGUGCGCCGCGCGCGUGUGUGUGGGGGGCGGUUUGGAGAAUCGGAGAGUGGAUAGCUUUCGCCGCGAAUCGACGACCAAUUCGAACAAAACAAAAUCGUGGGUUCGAUGUCUCGGUUGUGCUGAACAUGACGGCAUGAUCCGUUCGAAAAUCUGAUGGACAGAUAACCAGAUAUUGUGCGUUUAUCUAGAAAGGGUUGAAUUGACAUUUUCACAUUUCGCGCAAAAACCCCUAUAUUUUAUGCGCGGAAUUUUAUGAAACAUGGCAGGCUAAUGCGCGAGGUUGUUAUACACAUGUGGAAAGGACCUCAGCGAAAAAUAUUGUAUUUAAAGGAGGUUGUGCGCGAAGUCGGUAUGCAAUAAAGGUGGAUUUUAGGUUUCUUCAUGGAAACCCUAACCCUAACCCUAGCCACCCUUUCCCUUCCUCUGUCUGCACCUCCUAAGACCCACCGCCGUUUCCGUGUCGGCCGCAGGAGAGGCCCCAUUUCUCCUCUCUUUCCAUCUCUCUUCUUUUCUCUGAUCUCUAUUGUUGCUGUGAGAAGGGGGGACCCGAGCCAGCUUUCCUUGCCCCGCCAUCGACCCGGACCACCUCCGGCGUGAUCCUCUGACUUCGGGCAGCCACCCUUGAGCUUCCCCAGCGACGUGGUCCUGUGGGAGCUGCAUCGCGGCCAAGGAGGAGCUGCAGCAGUCGCGCGGGCCUGGGGAGCCACCUGGCUGCCGCCGCACCUCCCCGCCGCCUCCGACCGUCAUCGCCGACCUUAGGGAGGUCGCCGCCGCCGCCCCCAGCAAUACCUGAGCUGCCAUUGCGCCGUGCUAGGAAGCCCUAACCGCGGGUUGGUUUGUUGCCCGCCGCCACAGCCGUGCUACCGCGCCACCCCACCGCUGGCCAGGGGUCCCGACCCCUCCCUCCGGGUGUGGGGACCACCCUCCGGCCGGGGCUCGAGCCGCCAUGCCGCCAGCACUUCCUUGGCUGAUGCCCUAGCUCGGGCAUAGUGCUUACUUGAAGUUGCUGUUUUGGCGACUUCCGUUUUCGGCCAUCUGAGGCUUCGAUAGUCUCCGAAGUGUGAGCAUAACACUCCUGGGACUCUGUGGAGAGUCGUGCUCACCUUCGCUGUGAUCGGUUCUGUGGAGAGUCGUGCUCACCUUCGCUGUGAUCGGUGAAGCCCUGUUGCGCGUGAAGGCCGUGGCCGCUUCCGGAAACCUUGUUUACGGUGGUUUUCUCACUGUUUCGCAACCGUCUAGCGACCGUUUUCACUUCGGACAGUGAGCACGGGCAUCCUUGCAUCGAGUUGAUUUAGAUUGACUAGUUGGAUUGAGCCGUUGCGUCACAGAUCAGGGUAACGAGCUCUAAACUCAUCGUUUAUGAAUUAUUUUAUUUUUAAACUAUAGUUAUUGUGGGUCGUUUGCUUGUUGCAUGCUUUGGAAACACUGUGUAUUGUCCCGAACAGCAUGAAGAUGUUGUUAACGACCUCUUGACUGAUCGUCAAAGGUUCAGGAGCAGUUGCGGAGUAAGAUCUUGGCCCCACGGUGUCGUUCGACGGAAAUUCGCCGAACGAACGAGGUUUUGAGGGUAAGUUUUGAUAUUCUAGGUUUGUGGACUAUUGGAGAACCACGUCAUGCCUUGUUGGCUAGUUGCUACUACCAUCCUCGAAGUACGAAGGUGCUAGUUAGCGGCAGGAGUGUUUCGGGGCCUGUUUUGGAGAUUUCGGAAACCUGAUUCGGCAGCCUUCUAUUUUAUUAAUCCUUUAGUCUUGUUGUUGGUUGUUGCUGUCGGGGCACCUGUUUUGGUGUAUUUGGGGACAGCGGUUAGUAUAGUUGGGAUCGGGAAUUUUCAGAGCCGUUUGUGGGUCCCGGAGGCGUUCCAGCAAGUUUCGAAAGUUUCGAUGGAUUUUCGGUUAACGGUUUCGGUAGCUGUUUAUUUAGUUGUUUGAGACUCGUUUCGGUAGUGCAUGACUCUAUAGAUCUUUCAUAGGUUCGGGGGUCAUCUUCACGUGUUCUGUACUUCAGAUUCUCGAUAGUACAUGUGGGUACUUCGAGUUGGUAGUCGGUGAGUGUCAUGCCCCGGGACUGUACCAAUUUGGUUGGUUCGGGCACGUCGAACAGACGCCGAACGGACAGCACCUCCCCUGUCCGUCCAAGGCUCAACACAAAUACAAAUCAAGUAGAUAUUUUGCACAAGCGGAAACAUACAUAAUUGGCUUGCACGAGGGCAAGCAAUAGCCAAAGUGAAAGUACUAAACUAAACAUGCAUACAAGUAAUAUGAUUAAUUUUUAACCACAUACAUGCAUUCAACAAAUGUAUUCUUUUACAUCUUUUGCAUCAUUUCUUUUUUACAUCACAAAACCACCAAAAUGAACCUUUUCAUUUAACAUCUUUAAUACAUCUAUAUCAUCAAAAUACAAAAGAUGAUGUAAAGGGUAUGCAACUAAACCAAAAUAUGAAACCAACUCGGGUGGUCUCUGUCUAUGGCGCGAUACCUUUACUGCGAUCGUCAGCCGGCUCACUCGGUCCCGGCUCUGUAGAAAAAGGGGGUGAGAACUACAACAAAGUUUCCAGUAGGUUCGGCCGCCGACCUCGCCGACUUUCCCACUAGGUCUAAAUCAGGCAUAAUAGAAAAAUAGAUAGAUAAUAACAAACUAACAAAUGCAGCUAAUAUGCCUGAACAAUAUAAUCAAUGAUUAUGCUCAAUAAAAUGCUUAUGAUGAAUGCAAGAUUACUUUCCAAUUCCCGGUCCUUUUGGCUAACCCGUAGGUUUCGACUCAACCAAUAACUUACCAAUCCAAGGCCCUACUAUCGGGCCCUAAGCUUCCUCCCGACGGGACCAAUAGACUCACCAACCAAAUUCCUAGUAUCAAGCCCUAAGCUUCCUCCCGAUGGGACCGUCUGUGACACCCCAAUAAUCCCACAUCGGAUGGGAAUGGGGUUGUCAUUGGGUUUAUAUGAGACUUAGACACUGGUAAUAAUAACUGGGCUUAAGCAUUUUGGGCCGGUUGUUGGGCCCAACGAGUUCUUGUUGCUAGCGGGUCGGGUCGUUGCAAUAUUUGGUAUCAGAGCCAGUUCACCAGCUCGACAUGUGUGGCGAGUCUCGGCUGAGCCAGGGUCUGGAUGACGGGCUAGCGAGACGAGUCUCACAUCACCUGGUGAUCUUGGGCUGUGUGUGUGAUUGGAUUGACCAGGACGUCAGGGUCUUAACGGGGGGAGUCUGUGACACCCCAAUAAUCCCACAUCGGAUGGGAAUGGGGUUGUCAUUGGGUUUAUAUGAGACUUAGACACUGGUAAUAAUAACUGGGCUUAAGCAUUUUGGGCCGGUUGUUGGGCCCAACGAGUUAUUGUUGCUAGUGGGCUGGGUCGUUACACCGUCUUCUCGGGCAAACACCUUCCCAGUGAUGACAACUCCGGAGCUCAUCUCUCGAGGGAGAGCUACCGCCCUCCGAGCCAAGACUAUAGACGAGUAUGAUCAAUCCUUAAUUUUAAGGAUACCAAGUUCAAUCCAAUUCUUCACUAUAAGGAUGCUAUGCUUAUAUGACCCUUAACUUUAAGGUUGUUAAGUCAUAAUAUCAACUAUCUCACUUUACUUGCAUUCUUUAACUUUCUUGAUGCCGCACACUAAGUGUUCUUGACUCUUUAAUGCCACUCUCUAGGAGUUUAUCUCUAGCAUUCAAUAUACUUAUUAAUGCCACUCUCUAAGAGUCCAACUCUAGCAUUCAUAGUCUUUACUAAUGCCACACAAUCCAUAUGUCAUAAUGUCGUUUUGUUCUUUACCUCAUCUAGGUCUUUGUCAUUAUUCAUGCAUACAUAGGGUUUUCAUUUUAUUCAACAUUCACAUAUGCAUCUUUAUACUACAAGCAUGCAAAUAAUAUAUCUCAAUCAACCCUACAAUGCAUGAAGAUACUAUACAUAUACAUGCUCAAAAAUGACACUUUAGAUAUAAAAGAAAAUUCAAUGAUUUCGGAAAGCACCACCCAUCUUGUAUGAUUGUUAGGGUGCUACGGUUUAAAUCUCGUGAUUAUUAGCCGCCUAUUCUCUCGCCUGCGGCAAAACGAAGCCGAAUUAGGCUUUUUGCUUAUAACUUUGCGUAGACUCGUCGGAUUACCGAACCGAGUUCAUAUUCUAGUUAGAAAUACCCCCAAUUUGAUUUCUGUAAGGUUAGUUUGCCUCAAAACCAACCUAGGGCAAAAGUCUCAAUUUUGGUGCCCUAACAAUGUCAUUUUGUAAUUGUUCUUGGAUUGAUCUUAGAGCUAAGCAAAAACUAGCUUAGAACCAUCUAAGAACUUCUCUAAUACCAUUUUUAGAUCAUUCAAAUCAUUCCUAGGGCAUCUAAACCGAACUCUAGAAAUCUACCAUGAGAGCACAUGAAGAAAACAUGGUUUUCAUGUGUUCUAUGGCCUCUAUAAGGUUUCUACACUUGUAAGAAGAUCAAAACCAAUGAUUUAGGGCAUAAAACUAAGCUCUAACAAGAAACCUCACCUUAGCCCACUAGCUCUCCAAGGUCCUCCUUGUAGGUGAGCUCUAAACCCUUCAAAAGCUCCAAUCUCCACUUGAUCUCCUCCAAAUCCACCUCCAACCCACCUUGGUAGAGAGCUUCUAGAGAGAGAGAGGGAGAGAAAUGAGAGAGGAGCGGGUUCUCAGCUGGGAAUAAGAGAAAAGAGGGGUUGGGGUCUUAUAUAGGUUGCUACAAUAGCAGUUAGGCCCCUCAUUUCUUUUUAUUUGCAGUAGACCUCAUCCUGCUGCGAAGGGCACUGCGUACCGGUAUAAGGUAUUUCUGUCACCGGUUACACAAUUACACAGAGGCUAACCCGAGAGUUGCCUCUCACGGGUAAUACACUUGGUACCGGUACACACCAGGGGUGUCACCGGUUCAACAGCCUUUUUUACUCAAACCCGAGAGCUGCUUCUCUCGGUCUGAUGCAUGGUACCGGUACAAGCUCAAUGCAUUACUAGUAACAAAAGUUCCAGACCUCAAUUUUCGCAUCGUUUCGACUCCAAUUCAUGCCGAACAAUACUAAAACCUUUCUAACUCAUUUGGAACUCAACUUUUAUCCUUCCAACUUUGUUGAAAUAUUAAAUGGACUUUGUACAACUAUUUCUUUCGGAUACUUUAGUCAAUUUGGCUAAAGUCCGAUAUACUCUACCUAGGUUUUGGUAUAUUACAGUGAGAUUGUUUCACUUUUCUCUUCCUUGCUAUUGCACUUGCAUAUCAGUAUAUUAGUCACUACAUGUUGGUUGCCUUUGUUUAUCGUUCGUUUAUCUAUGUCUUGAUAGUUGUAUGGUGAUAGUUGUUAGUAGACAUGUAGAGUAGGUUUGCAUAUAUUGUAUAUCUGUGGACCUCGAGUCUAGGCAAUACAUUGACUCCUUUGUCGUGUGUUUCGAUCUGAUUGAUCUUGGUUCGGCGUUGUACGCCCUUAUAUCUGGCUUUAGUCAAGGCACCGAUUUUCUGCCGGUUUUGGCAUUAAGCAUAUCAGCAUGAUUUAGUCACAGCAUUGUGUGUAUUCCUAGACACUAGGUCGAUUUGGCCACUAACCAGGGGUGUACUUAUCUGGAUAGGUUGUCAGUGGACGCGUGAAUCAGGUCAGUGUAUGCAUUGUGACAGGCAACGCUUAAGGUCUAUAGACCAAUAUGGCAGGUACUAGAUUGGGUUUGAUUUGGAUUAAUUACCUUUGAGGCAUUUGUUCAGUUGAGGUUCUGAAACAGUAGUAGCUCUAUUUCUUACUCAUUUACUGUUCCUUUAUUACUACUGUUGUUCGCUUAUGUAUCACGUCAUAUUCAUUUAUACCUGUUGUUCUAUCUCCUUUGUUUUUCAGUGAAUAUGAUUUGCCUUCGUGGCUCUGUCGUACCCACUGGAAAAUCUUGUUGUGGUUUCUUACCCUGCAUUUUCCCAGGUGGCACGGGCGAGGAGUUGGCUCUUGGUGCGAAGGGAGGACGUCCUAGCUAGGUUGCAUUAGCGGUCGUCACUCUGUUUACUUUUCUUUCCGCAUUUAGUAGUUUAAAUAAUAAAAUGGUUUAGUUAGAUGAUCAUUGUUAUUACUUGAAUAAUCGUGAAACUGUAUGAUUUGGUGUUUUCUAUUAUGCAUGCAAUCGGAGUUUUAUGAAUCUUUGAAAUUUGGACUUAUGUAUUCAUGUAUUGUGGUUUUCUACCCCUCGAGAUAGUCGGUUUUCAAAGAUUGAGUUUCUGUGUGGGAAACAGUUUUAAAAGGAUUUCGAAUGGUUUUCAUAGAUGAACAAAUAAAAUUUAAAAAUAAAGUUUCUGGGUAGGGUGCACUUUUAAAUAGGAUGAUUGUUGCAAUAUAUAU